rnacentral:rRNA from 1 species
CAGCCGCCGCGGUAAUACGUAGGUGGCAAGCGUUGUCCGGAACUAUUGGGCGUAAAGGGCUCGCAGGCGGUUUCUUAAGUCUGAUGUGAAAGCCCCCGGCUCAACCGGGGAGGGUCAUUGGAAACUGGGAAACUUGAGUGCAGAAGAGGAGAGUGGAAUUCCACGUGUAGCGGUGAAAUGCGUAGAGAUGUGGAGGAACACCAGUGGCGAAGGCGACUCUCUGGUCUGUAACUGACGCUGAGGAGCGAAAGCGUGGGGAGCGAACAGGAUUAGAUACCCCCGUAGUCCCUGUCUCUUAUAC